rnacentral:lncRNA from 13 species
UUCAAUAUUAUCGCUUGCACAGUGCUCCUUGGGAUGUUUAAAGCUUGGGAAAUCUUUUUGUAUCCAAAUCCGGCUUUAAACUUCUUCACAACAGUAUCUCGGACCUGCCUGGUGUGUUCCUUGUUCUUCAUGAUGCUCUCUGCGCUUUUAACGGACCUCUGAGACUAUCACAGUGCAGGUUCAUUUAUACGGAGACUUGAUUACACACAGGUGGAUUGUAUUUAUCAUCAUUAGUCAUUUAGGUCAACAUUGGAUCAUUCAGAGAUCCUCACUGAACUUCUGGAGAGAGUUUGCUGCACUGAAAGUAAAGGGGCUGAAUAAUUUUGCUCGCCCAAUUUUUCAGUUUUUGAUUUGUUAAAAAAGUUUGAAAUAUCCAAUAAAUGUCGUUCCACUUCAUGAUUGUGUCCCACUUGUUGUUGAUUCUUCACAAAAAAAUACAGUUUUAUAUAUUUAUGUUUGAAGCCUGAAAUGUUGCAAACGGUCGCAAAGUUCAAGGGGGCCGAAUACUUUCGCAAGGCACUGUAUAUAUUUUAUUAUAUUAUGUUAAUAUCAUACAGUGGACACCUCAGCCCUUAAGGUCUAUACAUGCAUUGUCCUGAUGCAUUUAGUGCUCAAAUCUCCUACAGCUGAACCGUGAGGUGGACAAUUACUGUUUUAGGAAAGUACAAACCAAUAAAACAAUAGACUAUGAAGUUUUGAAUGUGCUACACAUCGAAACACAACAAAUUGGGCUUUAGUAAUUUGUUCUAGACCGUUUUUAAGGACUCAACUGUGGAUCAUUUGGCCAAUAUGGCUUGUUUAUUGAUGGUGCUGGCAGCGACCAGUCGGAGGCUUUUUCUCUCUUUACACUCUUGGAUCGGAACGGGUCUGAAUGGACACGAGGACUUCUAAGCUACAGACUGCUAAGCUACAGACUGCUAAGCUACAGACUGCUAAACUACAGACUUCUAAGCCACAGAUUUCUAAACCACAUACUUCUAAGCUACAGACUUCUAAGCUACAGACUUCUAAGCUACAGACUUCUAAGCUACAGACUUCUAAGCUACAGACUUCUAAGCUACAGACUUCUAAACUACAGACUUCUAAACUACAGACUUCUAAACUACAGACUUCUAAACUACAGACUUCUAAACUACAGACUUCUAAGCUACAGAAUUCUAAGCUACAGACUUCUAAACCACAGACUGCUAAACUACAGACUUCUAAGCUACAGACUUCUAAGCUACAGACUUCUAAGCUACAUAUUUCUAAACCACAGACUUCUAAGAUACAGACUUCUAAGAUACAGACUUCUAAGAUACAGACUUCUAAGAUACAGACUUCUAAGCUACAGACUUCUAAGCUACAGACUUCUAAGGUACAGACCAUGUUGUUUCUGCUUCUUCUGACCACCAUGUUGUUUCUGCUCCAUCUGACCACCAUGUUGUUUCUUCUGCAUCUGACCACCAUGUUGUUUCUGCUCCAUCUGACCACCAUGUUGUUUCUUCUGCAUCUGACCACCAUGUUGUUUCUUCUCC